AUACGUAGGGGGCGAGCGUUGUCCGGAAUGAUUGGGCGUAAAGGGCGCGUAGGCGGCCCGGUAAGUCUGGAGUGAAAGUCCUGUUUUUAAGAUGGGAAUUGCUUUGGAUACUGUCGGGCUUGAGUGCAGGAGAGGUAAGUGGAAUUCCCAGUGUAGCGGUGAAAUGCGUAGAGAUUGGGAGGAACACCAGUGGCGAAGGCGAUUUACUGGACGGUAACUGACGCUGAGGCGCGAAAGUGUGGGGAGCAAACAGGAUUAGAUACCCUGGUAGUCCACACUGUAAACGAUGAAUGCUAGGUGUAGGGGGUAUCGACCCCUUCUGUGCCGCAGUCAACACAAUAAGCAUUCCGCCUGGGGAGUACGGCCGCAAGGUUGAAACUCAAAUGAAUUGACGGGG
rnacentral:rRNA from 1 species